rnacentral:rRNA from 1 species
CGCAAGCCUGACGGAGCAACGCCGCGUGAGGGAGGAAUGCCUGUGGGUUGUAAACCUCUUUUAUCAGGGAAGAAGUACUGACGGUACCUGAUGAAUCAGCAUCGGCUAACUCCGUGCCAGCAGCCGCGGUAAGACGGAGGAUGCAAGCGUUAUCCGGAAUUUUUGGGCGUAAAGCGUCCGCAGGUGGCUAUUUAAGUCUGCUGUUAAAGCCCAGGGCUCAACUCUGGAUAGGCAGUGGAAACUGGGUAGCUUGAGUGCGACAGGGGUAGAGGGAAUUCCCAGUGUAGCGGUGAAAUGCGUAGAUAUUGGGAAGAACACCAGUGGCGAAGGCGCUCUACUGGGUCGCAACUGGCACUGAGGGACGAAAGCUAGGGGAGCG